CGGCACACCUGCUUUCCAUCAGGGCGAUUACCUGGAGGACUACUUAACCCUGCGCUGACGGAUGCUCCACGCCAGUCCGUUAAUCACCUCUCUGUGAUUUCAAUCCGGCGUCCAGUGUCUGCCUCCUGCCUGUCCUCCUGCUCGAUCACAUCACUCGGUGCAUCAUCUGGCCUCGUCACUAACUCCACGGACUCCCGCCUCACGGACUUUCACACUUCCCUCCCGAGCCCCACGGUCCCACUCCGAUCCUUCCCACGGUCCCGAUUCCGGCUUCCCCGCGUCAUUUGUUUCCCCGGGUUUUUCUGUUUCUCGUUUGCUCCUCUGGUUUUCCCG